rnacentral:rRNA from 1 species
UACGGAGGAUGCAAGCGUUAUCCGGAAUGAUUGGGCGUAAAGCGUCCGCAGGUGGCUAUGUAAGUCUGCUGUUAAAGAGUGAGGCUCAACCUCAUAAGAGCAGUGGAAACUACAUAGCUAGAGUGCGUUCGGGGCAGAGGGAAUUCCUGGUGUAGCGGUGAAAUGCGUAGAUAUCAGGAAGAACACCAGUGGCGAAGGCGCUCUGCUAGGCCGUAACUGACACUGAGGGACGAAAGCUAGGGGAGCGAAUGGG